GUAGAAGCUGAUGAAGUAGAAGACGGCGAAGCUGCUGCCGCAGAACGUUUCCCCGUCCAUGCUGUUGCUGGGCUCUGACUCUGGGGCACACUUCUUGCCGGGCAUGCAGGCCAGCAUGAUGUCUUGCCAGGCCUCUCCCGUGGCACACCUAGGGGAGACAGAUGGAAGAUGAUGGUGGAGAAAAGAGAGUGAGUUCUGGACUUAGGCAGCCCUGGCCCCAGCUGCCAAGACCCUCGACUCAAGGGGCAUGAACCCCGGGUACCCGAGGGUGGGACAAAGUACACAGACAGAAAUGAGGAAAGCCAGGCCAGAGGGGUGAAGCCACUGCCUCCCAGGGAGCAGGCGGCUGGAGGACUGGCCCCAGGUCGUCCGGACCCUAGAGGGGGUCCCACAUCCCUGCAGGUGACGUGCAGUUCCCGGGCCCCGGGUGGGAGCUGGGGGCUGGCCCUGGCCCCCCACCCACACCCCCGUCUCCCAGGAGAGGGGGCGGCCUACCUGGAACGACUUGAUGAAGGUCCACAGCAGCGUGCGGAUGCCCUCCCCACGGCUCAGCAGCUUGACCAGGCGCAUGACCCGGAAGAGGCGGAAGAAGGAGGUUGUGUUCCCCCAGAGGAGAACGCAGAGAAGGCUUCGGGUUUUAUAACUCGGCUGUCAGUUCCACCAUGUUCGGGGAAGGGGAGAAAAGAAGAAAGAGCCAGCUUCAGCGGGAGCCUCAGCUGCGAGUGUCAAGAGUUUGAGAAGUUGGUGCCACAGGGGCAGCUGGAUCUGAUGAGUUGAAAAAAUAAAGCCUGCAAUUUGAAUUCCAUCCUGGGGUUCAGAACCCUCCCUGGCCACUGCAGUUUCCUAAGGCUGCACUAGAAAGUGAAUAAAUACCUCUCUCUGUUUCGACACAACAGUUUCCUCUAAUAAACAGAAUGACAAUGCAGUGAGGAAGCACAUGCAAAUCGCUGUCCCUGGCAAGUAGGGCAAAAACAGCCAGAGCUGAGCUUUCCCCUUGUCUGCCUUUCAACAAGUCUGGGAUGGACUGCUUUGGGGAAUACCACCAACGGAGCCAAUCCUGGCUCUGGUCUGCUGACUUCAGAGGCUCAAGGAAUCAACCCACUGGUCUUUUCCAAAACCCGCGCUUGGCCCUGUUUUGAACUCUGUGACUCCUCCUUUUGGAGGUGGCUGUUCCAAGGAGAACCCAAGGUCACACCGAGUGGCACCUCGUGGUUUCAUCAGAGCAAACCAGAGACUCAGGAAUGGUCCAAUCAAACAAGCUAGUCCGUUUUCCCUCUUCGAACCUGCUGCAGAAAAGGGAGUAGAGCCUAACUGCAAUGAACUUCAGGAAUUUAGAAAUUCUACCACCCAUCAGUAAAAAAUCCCAGCUUCAGCCAUUUGCUCUGGCCUUAAACUCAGAACCCACAGGAGGUCAGUUGUUUCAGACAUUGAUGAUUAGUCGGAAGUUGUCUGUCUGCUUUUCAGUCUCUGGGCAGGACCAUCUCUCUCCGUCCUCCUUCCCCUUCCCAUGGCCUCCUAGGUGCCCUCUGCCAAUUUCCCACACCAGAUUACAAUCAGAGACUUUGGCCAGGGGAGUCCCUGGGAUGUUUAACAGGAAAUGGUCCUUGGGUCCAAUUCUCUCCCAGUGGCUCAUUCGACAGUCAGGAUCACAGUGAGUUGUCACCCAAAGGGGAGCUGGGGGAGGUAGAGGAACACCACCACACAAACAGCAUGUCCACGGCACACACGACACCAGGCAGGCAAGGCACGGGACAGACAUGGGACUACAUGCAUGGGGGGCGAGGCUCGCCUCCGAGAGACCCGGGGUCAGGACGGGAAGAGCAGGGGGUGUUAGAGGGGUCACAGAAGCUGGGAGCGUGGUCUGGAGGGUCGGUCUUACCAUAGAGGGAGAGCAUUGAGUAUGUUCAGCUGGCUUUAAAGAAAGGCAGAUAGAGAUAAGCUGUAAUGAGUCUCCAACGAAGACGCCCCGUAUUCUAGGUCUUGGCUAACACAGGAGCAACACAGUGGCAGGAGAGGGCAAAAGGAAACAAGUGAAAGAAAUACAAAAGCAUAGGCCUGGGAGGUUCUGGGGCGUCCCUCUGAGUGUGAGCUGGGUGUACCUGGGUCCCACAUCUAGAAACACCAACAAGGUGCCCUCCUACCCAUGACCUUGUCUGCUCAUGAAUUAAAUAACUUGCUUCUAUCAUAGAUGAGGUCUUUUGGAUUUUGUGGAUGGAGGGUUUAUUUAUUUUUUUUUUACUUAACCAUGUAUCCUAAGAAAACCUUUGAAUGUUUGCAUUUUAUGCCCUUUAGCUUACCCUGGACAGAGCCAGCUGAAUGAGACAGGCUUUGCCUCUGCCCAGGGCUUCUCCUUGCCCACACACACUGAAGCAAAGGAGCUCAAAGGCAGUGGCCCCUCAGGUUUCAGGAAGACUGAAUUCUAGCUAUCAGAGGGAAGGACCUAAAGAGGUGGCUGUCACCUACUUCCACCCAGACGCUAGGCCGUAGGCUCAGGUGGGAGGUGACCCUGCAGUUAUGCUACAGCUAUGGAGAGCUGGGCCCUUGGCAUGGAACAAUGAGCAUGGAAUUGUUCUUUCAAACUUUAAAGUUCUGAGCACAAUUUCAGACACUAUAAUUAACACCCCAGGAAGCUGUUCUCAUGGGUCUGGCUGUUGAACUCGCUUUGGGGUAGGGCCUGAGGAAACCUGCUGCAGGUUGAGUGUCUAAGUGUCAACCUUCUCCCCAUCUCCUGGAACCUGUAUCUGGGGUGUUGCCCCUGCUUUUUGGACUCAAGCUCCUGGAGCUCAGCCCCUGACUGAUCCUGACUGUCUGAGCUGUUAACUCUUUCCAGAAGGUCACGACUUGGCUUUUACCCUCCACUUUCAGAUGGUUGCUCUUGUGUUUCUGUUUUAAAGGAACAAACGAGGAACAUGUGUAAUGGGAUUUUGGAAGGAUGGAAGUAUGCACAACUAGACAUUU